rnacentral:tRNA from 1 species
ACCUGGGUGGCUCAGUCGGUUAAGCAUCUGACUUCGGCUCAGGUCAUGAUCUCGUGGUUCGUGAGUUCAAGCCCCACCUCAGGCU